AGCCACAGCCAUAUCACCCUGCAGCCCAAGACUGGUUGCCCACUGAAGCUAAGCAGGGUUGAGCCUGGUCAGUACCUGGAUGGGAGACCUCCUGGGAAAACUAAGUUGCUGUUGGAA
rnacentral:rRNA from 1 species